GGGUUGUGAGGUUAAGCGACUAAGCGUACACGGUGGAUGCCCUGGCAGUCAGAGGCGAUGAAGGACGUGCUAAUCUGCGAAAAGCGUCGGUAAGGUGAUAUGAACCGUUAUAACCGGCGAUGUCCGAAUGGGGAAACCCAGUGCAAUUCGUUGCACUAUCGUUAACUGAAUACAUAGGUUAACGAGGCGAACCGGGGGAACUGAAACAUCUAAGUACCCCGAGGAAAAGAAAUCAACCGAGAUUCCCCCAGUAGCGGCGAGCGAACGGGGAGCAGCCCAGAGUCUGAAUCAGCUUGUGUGUUAGUGGAACGGUCUGGAAAGUCCGACGGUACAGGGUGAUAGUCCCGUACACCAAAAUGCACAGGUUGUGAACUCGAAGAGUAGGGCGGGACACGUGGUAUCCUGUCUGAAUAUGGGGGGACCAUCCUCCAAGGCUAAAUACUCCUGACUGACCGAUAGUGAACCAGUACCGUGAGGGAAAGGCGAAAAGAACCCCGGCGAGGGGAGUGAAAAAGAACCUGAAACCGUGUACGUACAAGCAGUGGGAGCACCUUCGGGUGUGACUGCGUACCUUUUGUAUAAUGGGUCAGCGACUUAUAUUCUGUAGCAAGGUUAACCGUAUAGGGGAGCCGCAGGGAAACCGAGUCUUAACUGGGCGUUAAGUUGCAGGGUAUAGACCCGAAACCCGGUGAUCUAGCCAUGGGCAGGUUGAAGGUUGGGUAACACUAACUGGAGGACCGAACCGACUAAUGUUGAAAAAUUAGCGGAUGACUUGUGGCUGGGGGUGAAAGGCCAAUCAAACCGGGAGAUAGCUGGUUCUCCCCGAAAGCUAUUUAGGUAGCGCCUCGUGAACUCAUCUUCGGGGGUAGAGCACUGUUUCGGCUAGGGGGUCAUCCCGACUUACCAACCCGAUGCAAACUACGAAUACCGAAGAAUGUUAUCACGGGAGACACACGGCGGGUGCUAACGUCCGUCGUGAAGAGGGAAACAACCCAGACCGCCAGCUAAGGUCCCAAAGUCAUGGUUAAGUGGGAAACGAUGUGGGAAGGCACAGACAGCCAGGAUGUUGGCUUAGAAGCAGCCAUCAUUUAAAGAAAGCGUAAUAGCUCACUGGUCGAGUCGGCCUGCGCGGAAGAUGUAACGGGGCUAAACCAUGCACCGAAGCUGCGGCAGCGACACUAUGUGUUGUUGGGUAGGGGAGCGUUCUGUAAGCCUGCGAAGGUGUGCUGUGAGGCAUGCUGGAGGUAUCAGAAGUGCGAAUGCUGACAUAAGUAACGAUAAAGCGGGUGAAAAGCCCGCUCGCCGGAAGACCAAGGGUUCCUGUCCAACGUUAAUCGGGGCAGGGUGAGUCGACCCCUAAGGCGAGGCCGAAAGGCGUAGUCGAUGGGAAACAGGUUAAUAUUCCUGUACUUGGUGUUACUGCGAAGGGGGGACGGAGAAGGCUAUGUUAGCCGGGCGACGGUUGUCCCGGUUUAAGCAUGUAGGCUGAUUGUCCAGGCAAAUCCGGAUAAUCAAGGCUGAGGUGUGAUGACGAGGCACUACGGUGCUGAAGUAACAAAUGCCCUGCUUCCAGGAAAAGCCUCUAAGCAUCAGGUAACAUCAAAUCGUACCCCAAACCGACACAGGUGGUCAGGUAGAGAAUACCAAGGCGCUUGAGAGAACUCGGGUGAAGGAACUAGGCAAAAUGGUGCCGUAACUUCGGGAGAAGGCACGCUGGUGUGUAGGUGAAGUCCCUGCGGAUGGAGCUGAGACCAGUCGAAGAUACCAGCUGGCUGCAACUGUUUAUUAAAAACACAGCACUGUGCAAACACGAAAGUGGACGUAUACGGUGUGACGCCUGCCCGGUGCCGGAAGGUUAAUUGAUGGGGUUAUCCGUAAGGAGAAGCUCUUGAUCGAAGCCCCGGUAAACGGCGGCCGUAACUAUAACGGUCCUAAGGUAGCGAAAUUCCUUGUCGGGUAAGUUCCGACCUGCACGAAUGGCGUAAUGAUGGCCAGGCUGUCUCCACCCGAGACUCAGUGAAAUUGAACUCGCUGUGAAGAUGCAGUGUACCCGCGGCAAGACGGAAAGACCCCGUGAACCUUUACUAUAGCUUGACACUGAACAUUGAGCCUUGAUGUGUAGGAUAGGUGGGAGGCUUUGAAGCGUGGACGCCAGUCUGCGUGGAGCCAACCUUGAAAUACCACCCUUUAAUGUUUGAUGUUCUAACGUUGGCCCCUGACCGGGGUUGCGGACAGUGUCUGGUGGGUAGUUUGACUGGGGCGGUCUCCUCCCAAAGCGUAACGGAGGAGCACGAAGGUUAGCUAAUCCUGGUCGGACAUCAGGAGGUUAGUGCAAUGGCAUAAGCUAGCUUGACUGCGAGCGUGACGGCGCGAGCAGGUGCGAAAGCAGGUCAUAGUGAUCCGGUGGUUCUGAAUGGAAGGGCCAUCGCUCAACGGAUAAAAGGUACUCCGGGGAUAACAGGCUGAUACCGCCCAAGAGUUCAUAUCGACGGCGGUGUUUGGCACCUCGAUGUCGGCUCAUCACAUCCUGGGGCUGAAGUAGGUCCCAAGGGUAUGGCUGUUCGCCAUUUAAAGUGGUACGCGAGCUGGGUUUAGAACGUCGUGAGACAGUUCGGUCCCUAUCUGCCGUGGGCGCUGGAGAAUUGAGGGGGGCUGCUCCUAGUACGAGAGGACCGGAGUGGACGCAUCACUGGUGUUCGGGUUGUCAUGCCAAUGGCACUGCCCGGUAGCUAAAUGCGGAAGAGAUAAGUGCUGAAAGCAUCUAAGCACGAAACUUGCCCCGAGAUGAGUUCUCCCUGAGACUUUAAGUCUCCUGAAGGAACGUU
rnacentral:rRNA from 1 species